CAAUAGCAUAUAUUAAAGUUGUUGCGGUUAAAAAGCUCGUAGUUGGAUUUCUGCUUAGGACAGCCGGUCCGCACUACGUGCGUGUAUCUGGUUUGGCCUGGGCAUCCUAUCCGAAGGGGAUACUGUGCUUGAUUGCAUGGUUUUCAGUCGGGUACUUUUACUUUGAGGAAAUUAGAGUGUUCACGGCAGGCAAUCGCCCUGAAUAUAUUAGCAUGGAAUAAUAAUAUAGGAUCUGAUGCCUAUUUUGUUGGUUUCUAGGUGUUAGAUGAUGAUUAAUAGGGACAAUUGGGGGCAUUCGUAUUAUGGCGUCAGAGGUGGAAUUCUUGGAUUGCCAUACGACGAACUACUGCGAAAGCAUUUGCCAAGGAUGUUUUCAUUGA
rnacentral:rRNA from 1 species